rnacentral:tRNA from 1 species
GGAGAGGUGGCCGAGCGGCUGAAGGCAACGGUUUGCUAAACCGUCGUACUGGUGAAUGCCGGUACCGCGGGUUCGAAUCCCGCCCUCUCCG